rnacentral:rRNA from 1 species
CCUACGGGCGGCAGCAGUGAGGAAUAUUGGUCAAUGGACGGGAGGCUGAACCAGCCAAGUCGCGUGAGGGAAGACGGCCCUACGGGUUGUAAACCUCUUUUGUCAGGGAGUAAGGUGCAGGUCGGGACCGGCUGUGAGAGUACCUGAAGAAAAAGCAUCGGCUAACUCCGUGCCAGCAGCCGCGGUAAUACGGAGGAUGCGAGCGUUAUCCGGAUUGAUUGGGUGUAAAGGGUGCGCGGGCGGAGGGACAAGUCAGCGGUAAAAUCGCGGGGCUCAACCCCGCUCCGCCGUUGAAACUGUGUCCCUUGAGUGCGCUAGUGGUCGGCGGAAUGCGUGGUGUAGCGGUGACAUGCAUAGAUAUCACGC